GAGUUUGAUCCUGGCUCAGGACGAACGCUGGCGGCGUGCCUAAUACAUGCAAGUCGAGCGGACCGACGGGAGCUUGCUCCCCUAGGUCAGCGGCGGACGGGUGAGUAACACGUGGGUAACCUGCCUGUAAGACUGGGAUAACUCCGGGAAACCGGGGCUAAUACCGGAUGCUUGAUUGAACCGCAUGGUUCAAUCAUAAAAGGUGGCUUUUAGCUACCACUUGCAGAUGGACCCGCGGCGCAUUAGCUAGUUGGUGAGGUAACGGCUCACCAAGGCGACGAUGCGUAGCCGACCUGAGAGGGUGAUCGGCCACACUGGGACUGAGACACGGCCCAGACUCCUACGGGAGGCAGCAGUAGGGAAUCUUCCGCAAUGGACGAAAGUCUGACGGAGCAACGCCGCGUGAGUGAUGAAGGUUUUCGGAUCGUAAAACUCUGUUGUUAGGGAAGAACAAGUGCCGUUCGAAUAGGGCGGUACCUUGACG
rnacentral:rRNA from 1 species